rnacentral:rRNA from 1 species
UCCUGGCUCAGGAUGAACGCUAGCGACAGGCCUAACACAUGCAAGUCGAGGGCAGCAUGAACCGACCGUUCGGGAAGGUUUGAUGGCGACCGGCGCAAGGGUGCGUAACGCGUGAGCAACUUGCCCGUUUCUGGGGAAUAACCGGUGGAAACGCCGACUAAUACCCCAUAGCAUUGACUUUGGGCAUCCUUAGUCAAUUAAAGAAUUUCGGAAACGGAUGGGCUCGCGUGACAUUAGCUAGAUGGCGGGGUAACGGCCCACCAUGGCGACGAUGUCUAGGGGUUCUGAGAGGAAGGUCCCCCACACUGGAACUGAGACACGGUCCAGACUCCUACGGGAGGCAGCAGUGAGGAAUAUUGGUCAAUGGUCUGACGACUGAACCAGCCAUGCCGCGUGAAGGUCACGGCCCUAUGGGUCUUAAACUUCUUUUGCAAGGGAGCAAUAAGUCUCACGUGUGGGACUGACUGAGAGUACCUUGCGAAUAAGCAUCGGCUAACUCCGUG